rnacentral:rRNA from 1 species
CCUACGGGUGGCAGCAGUGGGGAAUAUUGCGCAAUGGGCGAAAGCCUGACGCAGCGACGCCGCGUGAGGGAUGAAGGUCUUCGGAUCGUAAACCUCUGUCAGCAGGGAAGAACGGUCACUGUGCUAAUCAGCAGUGAAUUGACGGUACCUGCACAGGAAGCACCGGCUAACUCCGUGCCAGCAGCCGCGGUAAUACGGAGGGGGCGAGCGUUAAUCGGAAUUAUUGGGCGUAAAGCGCUCGUAGGCGGUAUGUCAAGUCAAGGGUGAAAUCCCUGGGCUCAACGUGGGUAGUGCCUUUGAAACUGGCAAACUGGAGUGUAGAAGAGGAUAGUGGAAUUCCAGGGGUAGGAGUGAAAUGCGUAGAUAUCUGGAGGAACAUCAGUGGCGAAGGCGACUAUCUGGUACAUAACUGACGCUGAGGAGCGAAAGCGUGGGUAGCAAACAGGAUUAGAUACCCGAGUAGUC